rnacentral:rRNA from 1 species
UUGCAAAAUUCAGUGAAUCAUUCGAAUCUUCCGAACGCACAUUGCGCCCCUUGGUAUCCCGAGGGGCAUGCCUGUUCGAGCGUCAUU